rnacentral:tRNA from 1 species
GCUCUGGUAGCUUAAACAAAGCGUAACUCUGAAGAUGUUAAAACGAACUUGAAAAACGUUCCCUGAGCA